rnacentral:misc_RNA from 1 species
CUUCCCCUAGAGUCUUAAGAUUCCUCAUUUUGUAUAUCUCGUUUCCCCAAACAGAGUCUUCGAAGCCGCCGGCCAUAAUCUCCGGUUGCUUUGCUAAAUCUACGGUGACCACUUUCCGAUCUCCUCUCAGUUCCCGUUGAAUAGAAAAUGGCUGACGGUGAGGAUAUUCAGCCCCUUGUUUGUGACAAUGGAACUGGAAUGGUU